rnacentral:rRNA from 1 species
UGCAAGUCGAACGGAAUAUUCUGGUAGCAAUAUUAGGAUAUUCAGUGGCGAACGGGUGCGUAACACGUGGGUAACAUGCCGGGAAGAGGAGAAUAGCCCAGGGAAACUUGGAUUAAUGCUCCAUGUGGUCGCAAGACUAAAGACGGGGUAACCUGUCGCUUCCUGAUUGGCCCGCGGCCUAUCAGCUAGUUGGCGAGGUAACGGCUCACCAAGGCGACGACGGGUAGCUGGUCUGAGAGGAUGACCAGCCACACUGGAACUGAGACACGGUCCAGACACCUACGGGUGGCAGCAGUCGAGAAUCUUUCACAAUGGGGGCAACCCUGAUGGAGCGACGCCGCGUGGAGGAUAAGGUCUUCGGAUUGUAAACUCCUGUCAUGCGAGAGUAAGGCUGGUCUGUUAACUGCAGGUCAGAUUGACAGUAUCGCAAGAGGAAGAGACGGCUAACUCUGUGCCAGCAGCCGCGGUAAUACAGAGGUCUCAAGCGUUGUUCGGAAUUACUGGGCGUAAAGGGUGCGUAGGCUGCGCAGAAAGUCAGGUGUGAAAUCCGGGAGCUCAACUUCCGAAUGGCACCCGAUACUCCUGUGCUAGAGGAUUGGAGAGGAGCUUGGAAUUCUCGGUGUAGCAGUGAAAUGCGUAGAGAUCGAGAGGAACACUAGUGGCGAAGGCUGGGCUCUGGACAAUAUCUGACGCUGAGGCACGAAGGUCAGGGGAGCAAACGGGAUUAGAUACCCCGGUAGUCCUGACAGUAAACGGUGCACGCUUGGUGUGGGGGGUGACCCCUUCCGUGCCGAAGCUAACGCGAUAAGCGUGCCGCCUGGGAAGUACGAUCGCAAGAUUAAAACUCAAAGAAAUUGACGGGGACCCGCACAAGCGGU